AUCUGAAAGAUGAACGUAGACAUCCGGUAGAAUUGGAACGAUAUAGAGAAAAUCAGCGUGGCCCUAUGCAAGGAUGACAGGCGCAAACCUGAAAUUGUUAUGUUUACU